CACAGCUGAGAUGUACCCUAAACCAGAGAAACUGACCAUACUGAUACCUAGAAAAAAUGGAACCAUGGGCAGAAAUACAGGGAGCAGAGGAGACCUCCUCUGAGCAUUGAUGUUGGACCUCAGCCCUCUGCUACCUCUUUCCACCUUUCCCACCCCCUGCCUUAGGGAGAACCAAGAAAAGAUGAUAUAUUAUCUGCUUUUGGAUCGGAAGGAGCGGUAUCCCAGCUGUGAGGACCAGGACCUGCCUCCCCGGAAUGAUGUUGACCCUCCCCGGAAGCGUGUGGAUUCCCCCAUGCUGAGCCGUCACGGGAAGCGGCGACCAGAGCGGAAGUCCAUGGAAGUCCUGAGCAUCACCGAUGCCGGGGGUGGUGGCUCCCCUGUACCCACCCGACGGGCCUUGGAGAUGGCCCAGCACAGCCAGAGAGUCCGGUCUUUUCCUUUUCACCGGAGCCGGGGGCUGGAGAUGAGGCUCGAGGCGGGGGCUCCCCGACUUCCAAAACGCAGACGCUGCCUUCUCGGGGCCCCAGGGGUGGGGGCGCC
rnacentral:sRNA from 1 species